UCAGGAUGAACGCUGGCGGCGUGCUUAACACAUGCAAGUCGAACGAAGCAGUUUAUUACGAUCCCUUCGGGGUGACGAUUUACUGACUGAGUGGCGGACGGGUGAGUAACGCGUGGGUAACCUGCCUUGUACAGGGGGACAACAGUUGGAAACGACUGCUAAUACCGCAUAAGCGCACAGCUUCGCAUGAAGCAGUGUGAAAAGUAUUUUCGGUACAAGAUGGACCCGCGUCUGAUUAGCUAGUUGGUGAGGUAACGGCCCACCAAGGCGACGAUCAGUAGCCGACCUGAGAGGGUGACCGGCCACAUUGGGACUGAGACACGGCCCAAACUCCUACGGGAGGCAGCAGUGGGGAAUAUUGCACAAUGGGCGAAAGCCUGAUGCAGCGACGCCGCGUGAGCGAAGAAGUAUUUCGGUAUGUAAAGCUCUAUCAGCAGGGAAGAUAAUGACGGUACCUGACUAAGAAGCACCGGCUAAAUACGUGCCAGCAGCCGCGGUAAUACGUAUGGUGCAAGCGUUAUCCGGAUUUACUGGGUGUAAAGGGAGCGUAGGCGGUUUUACAAGUCUGAUGUGAAAGCCCGGGGCUCAACUCCGGUAUUGCAUUGGAAACUGUAGAACUAGAGUGUCGGAGGGGUAAGUGGAAUUCCUAGUGUAGCGGUGAAAUGCGUAGAUAUUAGGAGGAACACCAGUGGCGAAGGCGGCUUACUGGACG
rnacentral:rRNA from 1 species